rnacentral:lncRNA from 1 species
UGUCGCGGUGGAGCACCCCGCAGUUGUGGCAGUGCCGCACGGCCUCCAGCACCUGCCAGAAGAAGCUGCGGGCCAGCUCCUCUUGCAGGGCUCCCCUUUCCGUGAUGAAGUCGAAGAGAUCUUGCACCGGCUCGGGCCUCUCCAGGAUCAGGACGAAACUGUCGGGCCUCUCGAACCAGUCCAGGAGCCUAAUGACGCCGGAGAAACCCGAGCUCACCUUCUUCAGCAGGACCACUUCCAUGGGCACUCGAGUGCCAUUAGGCUGCAGCACUCACCAGCUCUCCCCAGUCGGAAAUCCGGUCCUUCUCCACGUGUUUGAUGGCCACCUGGAACGCCCACUCACCGGCAAGUUGUCGGAGACGCGGAUGCCUGAGUAGACCGAGCCGAAGCCGCCGCUGCCCAGUAGCGGGCCCACCUGGUACUGCGACUCCAGGGGCUCCUUCUCCUUGCCUAGGAAAUCUCACCGGGCGCCAGCUUGGUGGCGUGCAGGUCGUUGCAGGGCGCGGCGCGCAAGUUGGAUGGCUGAAUGAAACACAACCUUCCCUGCAGACAUCAAAGCAUGUCUCCAGCAUAGCAAACUCUCCAUCCAGCCUUUCGUCUCUCCGG